rnacentral:rRNA from 1 species
CAUGGUGUAGCAAUACACUGAUGGCGACCGGCAAACGGGUGCGGAACACGUACGCAACCUUCCUUUAAGUGGAGAAUAGCCCGGGGAAACCCGGAUUAAUACUCCGUAACAUUAUGAAGUGGCAUCAUUUUAUAAUUAUAGCUCCGGCGCUUAAAGAUGGGCGUGCGCCUGAUUAGGUAGUUGGCGGGGUAACGGCCCACCAAGCCUACGAUCAGUAACUGGUGUGAGAGCACGACCAGUCACACGGGCACUGAGACACGGGCCCGACUCCUACGGGAGGCAGCAGUAAGGAAUAUUGGUCAAUGGACGCAAGUCUGAACCAGCCAUGCCGCGUGGAGGAUGAAGGUCCUCUGGAUUGUAAACUUCUUUUAUUUGGGAAGAAACCCACGACUUCUAUUGUGGUUGACGGUACCAGAUGAAUAAGCACCGGCUAACUCCGUGCCAGCAGCCGCGGUAAUACGGAGGGUGCAAGCGUUAUCCGGAUUCACUGGGUUUAAAGGGUGCGUAGGCGGGUUGGUAAGUCCGUGGUGAAAUCUCCAAGCUUAACUUGGAAACUGCCGUGGAUACUCUCAAUCUUGAAUAUCGUGGAGGUGAGCGGAAUAUGUCAUGUAGCGGUGAAAUGCUUAGAUAUGACAUAGAACACCCAUUGCGAAGGCAGCUCGCUACACGGUUAUUGACGCUGAGGCACGAAAGCGUGGGGAUCAAACAGGAUUAGAUACCCUGGUAGUCCACGCCCUAAACGAUGAUUACUCGACAUCAGCGAUACACUGUUGGUGUCUGAGCGAAAGCAUUAAGUAAUCCACCUGGGAAGUACGACCGCAAGGUUGAAACUCAAAGGAAUUGAC